rnacentral:lncRNA from 1 species
GAGAGCUCACAGCCAAUUUCAUGAGACGGUGCUACAUUAUCGUGCCUUCUUGCAUGAGGAAUUCAAGGCCACAUGCGGUUUCGUCACUUGUCAAAGGUUAGUGUUGCUGAGGUUAGAACUGGGUCCCACUUUGAUCUGAUUCCAAAGCCUGAUCCCUUAACUAGUGUGUGGAGCUGACUGCAGGGAGACUGCUACACCCAGGAAGAGCUGCAGCUGUCUCAGGUGAGCUUUGGUUAGACCUCAUGAAACUGACCCUCUGGAGGGAAAGUGGGUGCUUCCCACAGUGCAUGGGUAGGAGGAGGUGGGGCACUUGGAGGGGUGAAGGGGCCAGGACAAGGUUCCAUGUGCUGCUAGAGUAUGAAGUGGCCCUGGUGAUAAAGGCUCUUGCUUUAAAGAAUGCUGUGGGUGUCACAGCUGUGUGCCCACUCAGUAUAGCAACUAAGGAAAAAGUCACCUAAAAUUAGACCUGAGUAUUAUUAGAGGUACAAAUUCAGUAAUUACCCACUCUCUAAUUCCUGCCGGAAAUAAGUAAAGCAAAGCCUGUUGCUUUUCACUAUGACUUGUGCCCUAAUCAUGAUAUCAUUCCCAUUGAACUUGAACUGGCUAUCUUUGUUUUCAGGUCUCAAUUAGGUCACAAAAUCCAUGCUCACUUAGAGAGCAAGAAAAAAAUGGAUACAUACACACACACACACACACACACACACACACACACACACACACAAGUUACUGACCACUGGCAUCUCAUCCCAAUGAUGCUGGAUGGGAAAUAACAGAAACCAAACAGGGACAAUGGUAGUGUUUCUUUCUCAGAGAUAAUCAGGGAAUAUGCUAGAAAGGUGGACUGACCUAUGAAGGGAAAAGAAGAAGAAAAGAAGGUAAAGGCUGAUUCAUCUCUGAAGGAGGUUGGAAAAGAAUGUAGUUUGACUGGAGAUGGCAAAGAAGAGCAAGAGUUAGGCUGAGGGAACAUCUUAAAACCAUUCAUCGGGAGAACUAGGAAAGGACACCUCUGGGCCUGCCUGUGAGCUGCUGCUAGAGAAGAUUAGCCGAGAACUGAGUGAAUGAGAGCCACCUUGAGAGGAGUGCCAUCUAACAGGCUGGAGGUCCGGGUGACGUGAGAAAGUAGAAAGGGGAAGCAAGCCCUGGAUUAUGAGUUUCUUCCCCAGUGGGUGUGGUUUGAUGCUGCCGAUUCAGAUGAACAUCACACUCCAGCAUCACACUCCAGCUUCUUCAGCCUUUGACAGACCUGCAGCAGUGAGAUGCAAGGACCUUGGAGGCCCUCACCCUCAGACCCAGGACAACCGUUGGCUUCUCAGUCUCUGUUCUCACAAGCAUCUUGUUCUGCGUUCCCUAGCUGACACCCAGCUCUCCAAUCUACAGAGGACUGCUGUGGCCCCACAGAGUACUCCAGACUAUUAGCUUCCUCUUGUUAUUGUAUAUAUUCCUUACCCUUAAUGGUCCCAAUACAAGGGUGAAUUAUCACUCUUCUCAGAUCUGUCACCAUCAAUCCAAUAAUGAAGAGAACCAUUUUCAUCUGAAUAAGCAAUUAACCUCCAAGGUAGGAUGGCUCAGUGAGAGUGCGGUCCUAUGCAACUACCAAAUUCUAUUGAGUUAAACAUUGUGCCUGCUCUUGCCAAGGAGUAAUCUACCAAAACACAAAGGCAUUAUUUAAGUGCUACUCAUAAAGAGAAAAAUAAUUCUAUAUUUAAUAUCAUCUAAAGGCAUUUGGCUUAUUAUACAAGCAUUAAUCAACUGUUACUAUUAUUUAUUAAUAGUGGCAGCGUGGAACCAAGGUCUACAGUGGCUGCUGAGGUCAGACUUGAAGAAAUGACUCACAUGCAAGGCUGAUCUACAUAAGUAGCCUGUGCUAAGACUGCCAUCUGGUAGAACAAUCUACAUCACACGACUCCACGUUUCCUGUUACCCAAGGUAAGUACAUUUCAAGCAUGAGGGAAAACUUUAUCAAGUUUCUCUAAGUCCCUUUACUUCGACACUAAAGUGGCUUACACAGGGAGGAGGGGAAGGGAAAGUACGAGGUGCAGGCUACUCUCUCAUCUCCCCAGAUUCCCUCUUCACAGAAGAGAAAGACUUUCUUAGCCAUUAUCACUCCUGUCAUUGAGUCUGUCAAAUUUGCCUACUUGCCCUUUAACAAUGCUCUUCAGGCAACAGAACAGGGAUUUGAGAUACCAUUGAAAAUGGAUGUAUUCAUUUGAGUUUCUCCCACCCCGCCUCCUACUACUUUCCCUCUCUUUCUCUAUGUAUUUUUCUUCCGUGUGUGUGUGUGUGUGUGUGUGUGUGUGUGUGUGUGUGUGUGUGUCACAGUGAACCUCUAUCUGCACACAGCUUAUGAGCCAGAUGCAUGGGUCUUACUCCAUUAACUGGAACUAUGGUGCUCAGUGCUGAGAGAGUUCAUCGCAAGCCGAAGCUAUUGGACUUGCCACAGAGGGAAGCAGCAGCUGACAGUCACUGGCACAUCCCUCCAGCACCGACUGUGUUACCUAGCCAUCUGGAGCUCAAGAUUAAGGCAGGUUUGAUGAGAGAGCUGUGACCUGUGGACCUCCUGAGAAAAUGACAAUGAGGGGGUACCUGAUAUACACUUCAGGACAUAAUAACCUGUGGCUGGCGAAAAACUCUCCCAAAUUGCAUAUAAUUUACAAUGUGUGUAAUUUAAGUAAAUAGGUACUUCUCAAAAAAUUUUUUUUCUGUUCAUGGUACUCUCAUGUUGUAAAAACAAAACAAAACAAAACAA